UUGGAGGGCAAGUCUGGUGCCAGCAGCCGCGGUAAUUCCAGCUCCAAUAGCGUAUAUUAAAGUUGUUGCAGUUAAAAAGCUCGUAGUUGAAUUUCGGGAUCAAUAUUUCGGUCAUGCCGUUGGUAUGCACUGUUAUCAUUGAUUUCUCACCUUCUAAAGAACCGUAAUGCCAUUAAUUUGGUGUUACGGGGAAUUAGGACUGUUACCUUGAAAAAAUUAGAGUGUUUAAAGCAGGCUCACGCUUGAAUACAUUAGCAUGGAAUAAUGAAAUAGGACAUCCGAUUCUAUUUUGUUGGUUUCUAGGAUCGAUGUAAUGAUUAAUAGGGAUAGUUGGGGGCAUUAGUAUUCAAUUGUCAGAGGUGAAAUUCUUGGAUUUAUUGAAGACUAACUACUGCGAAAGCAUUUGCCAAGGAUGUUUUCAUUAAUCAAGAACGAAAGUUAGGGGAUCGAAGACGAUCAGAUACCGUCGUAGUCUUAACCAUAAACUAUGCCGACUAGGGAUCGGAUGAUGUUAAUUUUUUAAUGACUCAUUCGGCGCCUUACGGGAAACCAAAGUGUUUGGGUUC
rnacentral:rRNA from 2 species